GAUGAACGCUGGCGGCGUGCCUAAUACAUGCAAGUCGAGCGAACAGACGAGGAGCUUGCUCCUCUGACGUUAGCGGCGGACGGGUGAGUAACACGUGGAUAACCUACCUAUAAGACUGGGAUAACUUCGGGAAACCGGAGCUAAUACCGGAUAAUAUAUUGAACCGCAUGGUUCAAUAGUGAAAGACGGUUUUGCUGUCACUUAUAGAUGGAUCCGCGCCGCAUUAGCUAGUUGGUAAGGUAACGGCUUACCAAGGCAACGAUGCGUAGCCGACCUGAGAGGGUGGCCGGCCACCCUGGACCUGACCACCGGUCCAGCCCCCUACGGGGGGCCGCAGUGGGGAAUCUUCCGCAAUGGGCGAAACCCUGCGGGAGCAACCCCGCGGGGGUAAUAAAGGUUUUCGGCUCGUAAAACUCUGUUUUUGGGGAAGAAAAAAUUUGUAAGUAACUAUGACCGUUUUGACGGUCCCUAAUCAGAAGGCCCCGGCUAACCACGU
rnacentral:rRNA from 1 species